rnacentral:tRNA from 1 species
GCCGCUAUAGUUCAAUGGAUAGAACGAGGGGUUCCUAAUCCCUAGAUGUAGGUUCGAUUCCUACUGGUGGCACCA